UAUUUUAUAAUGGUCUCUCCUCCACUUUAGACCUCCAUAAUAUUGAAUUUGAGUAUUCCUGAGUUGCUCUCAAUACAGCGUUGCUGGGCUUCACUGGAUGAGCUUGAACACACUCCAAAAGAUGCUCCCCUCAAGUUCCUUUCGUCCUUAGCAUUUUCUAUUCCAAUUAGUGCCCGACUGGAUCAUCUUGAUGAAUCUUCAUCUGUUGCAAUUCAGGUGUGGUUUCCUGAUGGUAGAGUGUUGACCUUUGAUCCUCAGCCUUCUGAUAUCCGCCCACUCACUCCUGGUACUCAUAAACUCAAUCACAAACUAAUCAUAUCACAUGGGAAGUGGACCGAUGCUCUAAUGAUUGAACUAAGUGUCAUUCGUCAUCAUUCAUUGGACAUUCCCUCAGAGUCUCAAUACAUGUCACUAAUAACCAAACUAAUAAAGAGAGGAGAGGGUCAGACCUCAUCCUCCAGUCACAUGAUCACUUCAGACUCCAUUCAAUCCUCUUCCCCUCAUAUGGUUGGGUCUGUUCUUAUCAGUGACAUCAUCAAGUUGAGGAUAUUACCACAAGAUACUCUUGCAAGAGGUUAUAAUGUGUUUGGACCAACUUAGAGUAGAGAGACUGAGGAGGGAAGGAAAUAAUUUUUAUAGUUCAUGACU